rnacentral:rRNA from 1 species
CCUACGGGGGGCAGCAGUGAGGAAUAUUGGUCAAUGGACGAAAGUCUGAACCAGCCAUGUAGCGUGAAGGAUGACUGCCCUAUGGGUUGUAAACUUCUUUUAUAAGGGAAUAAAAGGAGACACGUGUGCCUUUUUGCAUGUACUUUAUGAAUAAGGAUCGGCUAACUCCGUGCCAGCAGCCGCGGUAAUCCGGAGGAUCCGAGCGUUAUCCGGAUUUAUUGGGUUUAAAGGGAGCGUAGGUGGUUUGUUAAGUCAGUUGUGAAAUUUUGCGGCUCAACCGUAAAAUUGCAAUUGAUACUGGUAGUCUUGAGUACAGUUGAGGUAGGCGGAAUUCGUGGUGUAGCGGUGAAAUGCUUAGAUAUCACGAAGAACCCCGAUUGCGAAGGCAGCUUACUAAGCUGUGACUGACAUUGAUGCUCGAAAGUGUGGGUAUCAAACAGGAUUAGAUACCCCUGUAGUC